rnacentral:rRNA from 1 species
CAGCAGCCGCGGUAAUACAGAGGAUGCAAGCGUUAUCCGGAAUGAUAGGGCGUAAAGCGUCUGUAGGUGGCUUUUCAAGUCCGUCGUCAAAUCCCAGGGCUCAACCCUGGACAGGCGGUGGAAACUACCAAGCUGGAGUACGGUAGGGGCAGAGGGAAUUUCCAGUGGAGCGGUGAAAUGCGCAGAUAUCAGGAGGAACACCGGUGGCGAAGGCGGGUCUCUGGGCCAAAACUGACGCUGAGGAGCGAAAGCGUGGGGAGCAAACAGGAUUAGAGACCCCAGUAGUCCCUGUCUCUUAUAU